rnacentral:lncRNA from 1 species
UCUCACUCUCAGGAACCAUACCAACACCACCACCAGUACCUUUUCCCUGGAUCAAAACAUUUUCAUCAAUGGUUCUAGUAGCAAUAGAUGUUUAACUUCUUUUACAUCCACUGGUGAUUCAAAGAGUCGAAUUCCAUGCACAAACGGGAAUCAGACCGCAAAUAUAAGACUUUCAUUGGGAUCCAUUUCCUGGGUCUUUCUACUUUCAAGACAUCUCCCCUGCAAAUUGCUGAUUCAAGCUUUAAACUGCGUGCAUACCAGGUUUACAUAGAACAAACUCCUACUUGCUCUUAUCAUGUGAGCCACUCAUCAACUGCAGGCCGAGCAUAUAGCGGAGAGAACGAAAAUGUAAUUUAUGGUGAAUGAAUGGCCGGAUAAGUAGAAAAGGGGUAGGGAGAGAAGAAAAUGAGUAUAGUUGUGGUUAGAGAGAGAAAAGGUGGUAGAAGGUUAGUGAAGGUGUAAGGCUAUGGGUAUGAUGGUAUGGGAUUCCAUUAUGUAGAG